CCGGGGGCGGUACCCGGCGCCUCCACCAAAAUAUAAUCAAUAAAGCUUAUACUUUGGUGGGGGCGAAAUAGGAUCGACAAGGGUGUAAAGAUUGCUCUUUUACUCGGCAUUGUACCACCGUCAUCGGACUAAAUUAGUAGUUGCAAACGACAACUAUGCGGAAGCACGUCUCGCUGCUUAAGCAGUGCGAAGGCUUCAAAUCAAGCCUUAAACCGUCGCAGGUUUAAGCGGGGUCCGGAGGCACCUGGCAACACAAGCAACGCAGAAAA
rnacentral:sRNA from 1 species